GCCAAAAAUCCCAAACCAAAUGUCAGGAUACCACAUCUUCCUUCUCCCACUGUUGAAAUUCACAAACAACAACAGGAACCCACGUGAAAUUUGUUCUGUCCCCCACGAAUCAGCAGCACCACGUCCUCCUGCUGAGGAUGGAGGGAGGACUCUGCUGUUCCAUCAGAAGGAAGAUAAAGUCACCCCAUCAAGAAACUGCAAUCUCUCCUCCCUUUAUUCUGACAGGAAUCCAAAAUGACAGCACUGUUCUAGAAGCUCUUCUGCAUGGCACACUUUACACUGAGCAACAAUGUCUUGUUUAAUCAUUAAAACCAUUUCCUGGCUAAUCAGAGCAGUCCUCUGGUAUUUGAAAAAAUAACUUUAUUUCAUCAAUGAGAGCACAUGGACAAAGUUAAAUCAUCUCUCCAAACCAACCAAAAUCUGAAAUCUCCUGAUGUAAAUAAAUGUCCUUCUCCUACACCUUUCCCAUAGGUAAGAGUACCUACAGACAGGAGUAGACACAUCAAGGAAGACAAAAAAAUGCAAAGAAGCAAGAGACUAAAAACAAAUAGAAAAUAUUUUACUGGAGUGGACCUUCGCCUGCAAAACUCCUGAGGUUAUCACACUGCUGUGUGUUGAGAGAAAAACCAGUUACUGCUUCUGGGUUUGGAAAGAGUGAUAAUUUGUGACACAACACUAAAAAAAAGGCAAGCAAAUAUAUGAUGUGUCAUUGGCAAUGAUCUCAUUUGAAUAUUUGCCUAAUGAGGGGGGAUUAACUGGGUUAAUGACAGUGACUGCCCAAACCCAUGCACACACCUGGGGAUCUCAACUCUGCUGCCCAGCACGGCAGGAAGGAUGGAAAUCUGGAGAAACAGGCAGCUGGUGGAAAUCUCAGCUCUUGCUGAUUCAUACAAGAAGGGGAAAAAAAAGGAACAAAAAUGCACCAAAAUGGUGAAAACAAAAGGCACCAUCUGGCUCUGAGGAGAUCUGGGCUCAUCCAAACAGAAGCAGGACAGACACCCACAUCCAGCCAAGCCCUGGUGGACUGAGAGCAACAUUCCAGCCUUGGCCUGGUCCUGAUCCCACAUUCCUGAGGGAUCAAAGCACCCAACCACAAACACUGCUCCCAACACCUGCUUCUCCAACAGCCCAAAGAACAGGGAGACCUCCAACAAGGACAGAGCAACACUGGCAGAAGAAAAGGAGAGUUUGGAAAGUAAACUCAAAUGCUUGAAUGAAUGGUGAAUCAAACACAGAGUGAGGAACACACAGAGCAACUCGAAAUUUGGUCAAGUGAGGCUGUCUGAGCCUCACUGCAAAACAAAGUCAGGGCAGCAGUGACAUUAAACCAAAUCCAGGUGUGACAGCUCAGCACAGAGUGCUCCUGCAGAGAGCACUGGGCUAUAGAAACUACUGCAAUUAUAUUGUAUUUUAAAAUUAAGAUUUCAUCAUAGUUCUGUUCUUUUUAAUCAUAUACCUACAUGGUUAAUUCUAUCUUUUUUUUCCUCAGAUAACUGAUUUUUCAUUACUUCACCCAAAUCAAUUCAAAACACCUGAAUACAGAGCAAGGCAAAAAUCUCCCUGACAUCAGGAUGAGACAGAAACAGACAGAGAGAUGCUGAGCUUCUCUACGAGGUGAUUUGUCCACCUUUCCCUCAUAAGACAAAAAGCCCAGCAGAUCUCUAGGAAG